GAGCCAACCUUUCAGAACAUACUAGGAAUAGGGCCAGAUUUUGUCCCAGAAAUAUUGUACAGGUCGCAAAUAGAUAAAAAAUACUUCUCAAGAAGUUAUGGACAUCUGAAGUAGGAUUGCUUGUCGGCAUAUCUUCAGGGGCAAAUGCAGAUGUGCCUACUUAAAGGCAAGCUUGCAUCAAGAGAGACGAACAAGAGCAAGAUGCAGUAGGAGUCUCUCCUGCUGCCUAAAUAAAGGACAAGGGCAAGAUGACUGACAAUGGUUUCAAGUGGUGUAGAGAGGUAUCUGAACACGGAGCUCUUUGCACAGGUGAAGUAAUAGUAUGUCAACGUCAACAUGACUUUCUGAUGUUAAGCUCAAGGCAAUGAUGGCAUAGGGGUUAUCUGCUAGAUAUCUCAUGCACAACUACAUAAUAAGCUGGUAAGCGUUAGUAAGAAUUGAUCCGCAGUGUCGGGGAAGAGAACCUACAGAGUAUCGGUCUAAAAAUCCUGACCAAGAAAGAUUGUAAAACAGAGAAGAAGUAAUUUAAUUAAAAGAAGGCAAUAAGCUACAUCUUGUAUCCGAAUUCCGAAGUGAGCCAUGUCUGUACUUGAUUAAGUCAAUCUAUUUGAUAUAUUAUGUUUAUGUA